AGUGAACGCUGGCGGUAGGCCUAACACAUGCAAGUCGAACGGCAGCACAGUAAGAGCUUGCUCUUACGGGUGGCGAGUGGCGGACGGGUGAGGAAUACAUCGGAAUCUACUUUUUCGUGGGGGAUAACGUAGGGAAACUUACGCUAAUACCGCAUACGACCUACGGGUGAAAGCAGGGGAUCUUCGGACCUUGCGCGAUUGAAUGAGCCGAUGUCGGAUUAGCUAGUUGGCGGGGUAAAGGCCCACCAAGGCGACGAUCCGUAGCUGGUCUGAGAGGAUGAUCAGCCACACUGGAACUGAGGCACGAUCCAGACUCCUACGGGAGGCAGAAGUGGGGAAUAUUGGACAAUGGGCGCAAGCCUGAUCCAGCCAUACCGCGUGGGUGAAGAAGGCCUUCGGGUUGUAAAGCCCUUUUGUUGGGAAAGAAAAGCAGCAGGUUAAUACCCCGCUGUUCUGACGGUACCCAAAGAAUAAGCACCGGCUAACUUCGUG
rnacentral:rRNA from 1 species